GUUUCUUAAGACUUCCAGCUUCAUCACGGAGUUUCUCUCGGUUUGUGGGCUCAUCUAAAGUUGAGUAACAGGAGAAGAGUCUGGUGGAGCAAUAGAGGAACAAUUUCAGCCAUUUGGACUCAGCUCAGCCACUAUAGAGGAAAAAAUGACUUCAACAGAAAAGGACCAACAUGGAGCGAGAAGUCAGCGCUCUCAGG